UGGACGGGUGUGAAGGGGGCGUUCAGAGUUUCCUCUCUGACGUUCCUGAGUUGGCUGCUGAGGUGCAAAAGAACGAUUCCCAGCGGCCCUGAAAGCUCCAAGUUCCCUCCCUCCUCGGCUGGACUAGAAAGCAAUGGCUUCCCAGUGAGUUCUGUGGCCAAAGGAACCCGAGCCACGCUGUGCUUUACACUGGCAACCAGCUGCAGCUUUCAUCCUCUACAUGAAUUCACAUAGCAUGUACGGCCCAGCGCUGCCCGCACAGCAAGAGGAGCUUUGGAAAACAAGAGUACUGGCAUCAUUUUCUUCCUCUGUCUCCACCACCAUCUUAAAGAUCUCCCAGGAAAGGACCUUGCAGUCUCCUUGGGUGAUUCGCUCAGAGCCCUCCUCUCGGGGCUAAGACAUGCAUCCUUGCCGCUACCUGGAAAUUUCUCCGACAGUUUGUGGUGGUCUCCUGCGUGGCCUCUUUUCAGAGUGCUGUUUCUCAAAGAGCGUGGUCCCACCCUCUCCCUGCAAUGCUUUGCCUCAUCCUUCUGUACACACUGAUAGAAACUGAUGCAAAAAUUUGCAACCCCUAUUAAUUAUGCACAUGAGAUUUCAAUAGCUGGUGAAGGAGAAUUCCACGAAGAUGCAGUAAUCAAGCAGAGUGUCGCAUAAAUUGUACAUUUAUGAGAAGCUAGGUGCAUGGGACAGAAAAUGCAGUGCAUGUGAGUUAGUGGCAGCCGGCAGCCUCGAAUCCGCCGUCAGAUCUCUUGGGUGAACAGGAUGUGGUAACCAAGAGAACAAAUCCUUUGAGGUUUUUCAAGAGACAAUAGAACCUCCUGGGGGAGGAUUCUAGGUACUACAGAGCAUCUUUUCUUAAGCUUUUAUUUUAAUGGGCAUUUGUGUGUGAGAGCAAAGCAAGUCCUGCUCCCAGUGUUAAAGCUUCCCAGAGAGACGCAUGACCUGAAGUCAUACAACUUGCGCCCUUGUUUGGUACCUGGUCCCUUCCUGGUUUUCUCUUCCCUCUCCGCGUGGAGUUCAUUCGGUGGUCCUCUUCAGGUCACAUCUUUCCAUCCUCCUCCAGGCAGGCAGGGCUUCUUCUGCAUGUCAUCAGUUCUUUAUCCUCCUUUACCCUCACUUUAUUCCUAAGCCCUCCCCACUCCUGGCAGUCACAGUAUUGCAUUUAAUGUGUACUUUUUGAUUUAUCUGUCUUCUUGAGACAGAUAUUAUCAUCUUGUUUUGUGGUUUUUUAAAUAAGUGUAAAUGGUAUUGUGCUAGGUGUUUUGCUCUGCUUAUUUUGUUUCAUCAGGAUCAUGCACCUGGGGUCCGCUCAUUCUGACGACGUACUUAUGUCAGUGUGCCUGCCUCCUACUGGGGUGCCCCAAAACCCCGUCCUUAGCAGAAUAGCCUCUCCCUUCUUCCAGGCUGGAUCCCACAUUGCUACUGUCCUUCCUCUGGGGACUUGUGAGCAGUCUUCUCAAGCAAGUUGGUGAGUCCUGAUUAACAGGGCCCCUCUGUCUCGGGGCUGCUCAGCUGCUUUUCGGGGUAGCUCGGCCAAGUGUGCGUGCAGAAGGACUCAGUGGGUUCAGGAUCACUGGACACACAUCAGAAUGGUUUUCCCACCAUUUGACUUGUUUUCAUAUUAAUAAAAACAGGGAUCUGCCUGUAAUACCGGUUAUCUGGGAGGCUGAAGCAGUAAGAUUGAAAGUUCCAGCCCUGACGGGGUGAUUUGGCAAGACUGUCUCAAAAAAUUAACAAGGUGAAAAGAGCUAAGGACAUAGUUCAGUGCAAAGUCCUCAAUCCUGUGCACCCAAACUAGCAAACAAACACGUUCAAGGUAGACUUGGGAUUUUGUCUUAAUAUUCAGCAAAGAAUAUUUCUUUCAUUUUGACUUACUGUUUCAUAGGUUUCUUAAGAGAAUUCAGCUUGAAUUUAGAUUCACUAAUAUACACAGGAUUUAUAUAUAAAUUUGCAGCUAAUUGAAAGCAUCUAAAAUAUUGUUAUUCUACACAAAAUGGAGUGUCAUUGCUUACUCACUUUACUUUUUAACUCUUCAUUUUGAAAUCAUUUCCAAUCUUAUGAAAAAGCUGCAAAAAUACAAUAAAAAUGCUCCCGUAC